GAUGAACGCUGGCGGCGUGCCUAAUACAUGCAAGUCGAGCGAAUGGAUUAAGAGCUUGCUCUUAUGAAGUUAGCGGCGGACGGGUGAGUAACACGUGGGUAACCUGCCCAUAAGACUGGGAUAACUCCGGGAAACCGGGGCUAAUACCGGAUAACAUUUUGAACCGCAUGGUUCGAAAUUGAAAGGCGGCUUAGGCUGUCACUUAUGGAUGGACCCGCGUCGCAUUAGCUAGUUGGUGAGGUAACGGCUCACCAAGGCAACGAUGCGUAGCCGACCUGAGAGGGGGAUCGGCCACACUGGGACUGAGACACGGCCCAGACUCCUACGGGAGGCAGCAGGAGGGAAUCUUCCGCAAUGGACGAAAGUCUGACGGAGCAACGCCGCGUGAGUGAUGAAGGCUUUCGGGUCGUAAAACUCUGUUGUUAGGGAAGAACAAGUGCUAGUUGAAUAAGCUGACACCUUGACGGUACCUAACCAGAAAGCCACGGCUAACUACGUGCCAGCAGCCGCGGUAA
rnacentral:rRNA from 1 species